rnacentral:rRNA from 1 species
UCCUGAGUGGAUCCUGAGUACGGCGGAACACGUGAAAUUCCGUCGGAAUCCGGGAGGACCAUCUCCCAAGGCUAAAUACUCCCUAGUGACCGAUAGUGAACCAGUACCGUGAGGGAAAGGUGAAAAGCACCCCGGAAGGGGAGUGAAAGAGAUCCUGAAACCGUGUGCCUACAAGUAGUCAGAGCCCGUUAACGGGUGAUGGCGUGCCUUUUGUAGAAUGAACCGGCGAGUUACGAUCCCGUGCAAGGUUAAGUUUGAAAAGACGGAGCCGCAGCGAAAGCGAGUCUGAAUAGGGCGCAUGAGUACGUGGUCGUAGACCCGAAACCAGGUGAUCUACCCAUGUCCAGGGUGAAGUUCAGGUAACACUGAAUGGAGGCCCGAACCCACGCACGUUGAAAAGUGCGGGGAUGAGGUGUGGGUAGGGGUGAAAUGCCAAUCGAACCUGGAGAUAGCUGGUUCUCUCCGAAAUAGCUUUAGGGCUAGCCUCAAGGUAAGAGUCUUGGAGGUAGAGCACUGAUUGGACUAGGGGCCCCUACCGGGUUACCGAAUUCAGUCAAACUCCGAAUGCCAAAGACUUAUCCUUGGGAGUCAGACUGCGAGUGAUAAGAUCCGUAGUCGAAAGGGAAACAGCCCAGACCACCAGCUAAGGUCCCACAGUAUACGUUAAGCGGAAAAGGAGGUGGAGGUGCUUAGACAACCAGGAGGUGGGCUGAGAAGCAGCCGCCAUGGA